UGCGAAGGGCUCGGCGGCCGGCGGAGACGCGGGUGGCCGGCGAUGGCCGCGGUGGGGGCCGGCUGGGGCCCAGCCCACGGAGGCCGGCGGAAGGCGGUGGCCGAAGAGCCGCGCCCCUUGUGGAGCGCAUGCUGUGUGACCCGCGCCUGUCUUUCCCGCCGCCGCCCCGCCAGGGCCCAUCUCAGGUUCGACCGGCUGCGUUUCAAGAGCUCAGCAACCACGUGGCUCCUGCAUUGGACCCUGCAAUGCUAGCUGGGGAGACAGAAAAGAAAUGAAGCGGAUUCCCCAUCAAGUGGUGGAAAGGGUGUACCCGGUGCAGAUGCUCAGCCCUGGGGAUACAACAGUGACCAUGCUAGAACGGGCAUCUGCCCUCACGGAAGUCCCAGUCAACCUGUGGGUACAGGCUUAAGAGGGCAACUCUGACAUCGACUGGGUGUGCAACCUUGGAAACUACAGUAAAGGCUCCUGCCCACGUCUCUGCCUCCUGCCAGCCCCUGGUGCUUCCCCGUGGGGCCCUGCAUGGUGUGCUGUGUGCCCUCCUCGUGGGAUCUGUCUCCCUUCUCUCUGGAGCCCUGGUGGGGUGCCCUGUGCAUCCCGACAGCCUGUGUGUGGACGUUCCUCUAGAAUGCAGACCGUGCAUCCUGUGAAAGUCCCCCCGGCGGUGAGCGUCACAAGGGCACGGUACAUCUAUUAUCUGCCCUCUGUCUCCAGCUCUCUGCACAUCACUUGGCAUUUGCUUUAAAAUGAUCUGCCAGCCCCGGGAGGGGCACUCAGUCCUUCCGUGAUCAGGUAGGCGCCAGCUGUCAAGACGUCCUGAUACACAAGACAUGCUUGGAGCACAGAGGAUUUUCAGGGCAGUGAGGUACUCUGUAUGAGGCCAUAAUGAUGGGUACAGGUCAUCAAGCAUUUGCUCAAACCCAUAAAAUGUCCAACACCAGGAGUGGACCCGAACGUAAACUAUGGACUUUGGAUGACAAUGCUGUCAGCACAGGCCCGUCGAUGGUAACAAAUGCAGCCUUUGGUGUGGGAUGUUGAUAACCAGGGAAUAUCCAUUUGGGGCAAAUAUCCAUUUGGGGCAAAGGGUAUAUGGGAGAUCUCUGUACCUUCCCCCCAGUUUUGCUGGGAAAAUUGAACUGCCCAGAAAAAAAAGUCUUAAUAAACAUAAGAAAGAAUCAGGACAAACUUAUGGCCUGACGGUUAUCUGUGGCUAGAACCGCACUGCUCCCCAAGGUUAGCCGCUAGCCACCACAUGUGGCUAUUUGGCAUCUGAAACGUGCUACAAGUGUGCAAUCAAGAUCUACUAUGCCAAAAAAAAAAAAAAGAAACGAGGGAAUGUCUCACAAAUCAUCCUUAUUUGAUUGCCUGUGGGAAUAAUAUUUUUAUAGAUAUGGUUAAAGAAAAUACAGUACUAAAGUUUAAAAAAAAUUUUUUUUAACAUUUAUUUAUUCUUGAGACAGAGAGAGACAGAGCAUGA